rnacentral:misc_RNA from 1 species
GGACAAGAAGCUAACUGUAAUAGGGGAAGUUGAUCCAGUUGAUGUGGUUGCAAAAGUCCGAAAGCAUUGGCCCAACGCCGAUAUCGUCAGCGUCGGCCCGGCGAAGGAAGAGAAGAAGCCAGAGGCAAAGAAAGAACCAGAGAAGCCAAAGCCAAAGAGUGAAAGUGAACAAAUUGAAGAGAUGCUUAAAUUGUACAAAAGCUAUGGUUAUACUCCUUAUGGAGGUCCUAAUUACCGUGUGUAUAGUAUAGAGGAGAAUCCUAAUUCUUGUAUCAUAUCUUGAAUGGUACCAAUAAAUUUU